GAGACAAGCAUAUGACUACUGGCAGGAUCAACCAGGUAGCAUUCCUUUAAGAUACCGACACUCGUAUGAGCCUUACCGAGCCAUGAGGCCACAGGCCUAAAGACGGGUGCAGUAGUCAUUCUUCUCUUUAGACAAAAUACGUUGCUUGAUUAGAUAGAGGGACUCUGAUAAGCCACCCACCCGCAACACAUAACAUUUUGAAUCCAAUAGCAUAUGCAAAAAGAUUUAUGUGCCAAGGUAACCAUGCAACUGGGCUAGGCGUGCCAAGAACACGAGGCAUGCCUAACAUCCAACCCACUACCUGUGAGGGAAUAGGACGGAGAGAAACAAACGAGCCAUUGAAUUCCUUCUAGUAGGUAAGCAACACAGGAUACCGAA
rnacentral:misc_RNA from 1 species